rnacentral:rRNA from 1 species
AUGGGAGAGCACCGGCUGCUCACCGGUGUCUACUACAUCCCCGCGCUAAGGAACUCCAUCAGCUUGGGACAGCUGGAUGAGAACGGCUCACGCGUGCUGAUUGAGCAUGGGGUCCUACGCAUCUGGGAUCGCCAGCGUCGCCUUCUCGCCAAGGUGCCCAGAGGUGAAAAUCGACUCUACGUCCUUGAUGUGCAGGUGGCACAACCGGUCUGUCUCGCUGUCCGUCGGGACGAUGAGGCGUGGCAGUGGCAUGAGCGCUUUGGGCACCUUCACUUUGAGGCCCUGAAGCGUCUAAGUGCCAAGGAGAUGGUGCGAGGCCUGCCAUGCCUCGACCAUGUGGAGCAGUUCUGCGACAUCUGCGUGCUGACGAAGCAGAGACGACUCCCCUUUCCCCAACAGGCGAGUUUUCGGGCCAAGGAGAAGCUGGAGCUCGUGCACGGAGACCUGUGCGGCCCGGUGACGCCAGCCACACCAGGAGGUCGACGCUACUUCCUGCUGCUCGUCGACGAUCUCUCCCGCUACAUGUGGGUGAUGAUCCUCGGCAGUAAGGGAGAAGCAACGGACGCCAUCAGGCGCGCGCAGGUUGGUGUGGAGGCGGAGAGCGGCCGCAAAUUGCGCGUGUUGCGCACUGACAACGGCGGCGAAUUCACGGCAGCUGAAUUCGCGUCGUACUGCGCCGAUGAGGGCAUCCAGCGCCACUACUCCGCGUCGUACAGCCCGCAACAAAACGGCGUCGUCGAGCGGCGCAACCAGACGGUUGUGGGGAUGGCUCGGGCUCUCCUCAAGCAGAGAGGGAUGUCGGCUGUCUUCUGGGGAGAGGCGGUGCUAACGGCCGUCUACAUCCUCAACCGCUCUCCUACUAAGGCACUCGACGGCAGAACUCCGUACGAGGCCUGGCAUGGGCGGAAGCCGGCGGUCUCUCAUUUGCGGGUCUUUGGCUGCCUUGGGUUCGCCAAGGAGCUCGGCCACAUCAGCAAGCUCGACGACAGGAGCACUCCGGGAGUCUUCAUCGGCUACGCGGAGGGCUCAAAGGCCUACCGCAUCCUCGACCCAAAGACACAACGUGUGCGCACAGCGCGAGACGUCGUGUUCAACGAAGGGCGAGGGUGGCAAUGGGACAAGGCGGUGGACGACGGCUCGACGCCGACGUAUGACGACUUCAUUGUCGAGUACGCCCACUUCAAGGAAGCUGGGGGAGCAAGCAACUCCUCUUCACCGGGCACGUCUACCCCGGCCCCCAAAACUACAUCGACUCCGGCGCCUGCUACGUCGACGACACCACAACCGGCGACGCCGCAUACUCCAGCCCCGGCGGUCGCCACUCCGGGCUCGUCUUCAUCAGCACCAGCUCACGCAGAGCACAACCCGAUGAAGUUCGCUUCCCCGCUCACUCACGACGAGGAGCGUAUCGACGCGUGGCAUGACGGCGAACCGCUGCGGUACCGUACGAUGGAUAAUCUGCUCGGCGACCAGCCGGUGCCAAGACUGGUGCCACGUGACCUGGAGGCGCAGCUACAGCUCGCGUGUGAAGACGGCGAACCACGGUCCUUUGCAGAGGCCGAGAGAGACGCGGCAUGGCGCGCCGCGAUGCAGUUGGAGAUGGAUGCGGUCGAGCAAAACCGCACCUGGGAGCUCGCUGAUCUCCCUCGAGGUCACCGCGCAAUCACCCUUAAGUGGGUGUUCAAGCUGAAGAGGGAUGGAGCCGGCGCCAUCAUCAAGCACAACGCUCGCUUGGUGGCCCGAGGCUUCUUGCAGCAGGAAGGAGUCGACUUCGACGGCGCUUUCGCUCCCGUGGCACGGAUGGAGUCCGUGCGACUUCUCCUUGCGCUGGCUGCCCAGGAGGGCUGGCGCGUCCACCACAUGGACGUUAAGUCGGCAUUCCUCAACGGCGACUUGAAGGAGGAAGUCUACGUGCAUCAGCCACCGGGGUUUACGAUUCCCGGCCAGGAGGGCAAGGUGCUCUGCCUGCGCAAGGCUCUCUAUGGCCUGCGGCAGGCACCCAGUGCGUGA